UUUUUUUUUUUUUUUUGAAAGGUAACUUAGCUUAACAGAAAGAAAGAAGAUUUGAUGCAGAAACAAACUAACCAGUAACAAACCAACAAAUACAAUCAAGCAUAUUUGCAAAUACUAGUAAUCGCUAUAUGCCAUAUAAUGUGCGUUGCAUGUGCAUGUCAUCCCUAGCAUCGACACAAACAAACUAAAAUCUUUCCACACACUGUGGAAAUACAUAAAUCGAACCCAUCUUCCAUCACUCCAAAAAAAAAAAUGAAGCUCAGAAUAAUCAUUUUCCAGGAAGUAAAUAGCAACAGGGGAUGGAGGCAAGUCAAGAACAGCUCACC
rnacentral:misc_RNA from 1 species